GGUGCCAGCGGGGUCCUGCACACGCAGGGCUGGGCGGCAGGUUUGAGUUGUUGUAGCUGCCGGUCCGCUAUUUAGUGUGUUGCACGGCGGGUCAGUGUCUUCCAUCUAGGUAGGGCCCAUACUGUCCAGUGAAGAGGCUGUGCUGCUAGAUUUAAACAGAGUUUCAAGCUACUGCUGUGAUUGAUCUUCCAUUUUCUGGCCUGAAAGACAUUCAGGGAAAGAGGAAGAGAUGGCAGUUUCUUGGAAUAAAGAAAAUACCCCUCCUGAGGAUAUAUCCUAAGGAACCCAACACAUCCAUCCAAAAAGAUCUGUGUACACAUAUGUUCUUGGCAGCACAAUUUGUAAUAGCCAAAACCUGGAAGCAACCCAGGUGUCCAACAACAGAUGAGUGGCUGAGAAAGUGUGGUAUAUAUACACAAUGGAAUACUACUCAGCUAUAAAAAAUGGUGACUUCACUGUUUUCAGCCGAUCUUGGAUGCACCUUGAAAAAAUCAUGUUGAGUGAAAUAAGCCAGAAACUGAAGGAUGAAUAUGGGAUGAUCACACUCUCAGGAUGAAGUUGAAAAACAACAUUAGAAAAGAAAACACAAGUCGAACCUGAAAUGCAAUUGGCGUAUUGCACCAAAGUAAAAGACUCUGGGGUG